rnacentral:rRNA from 1 species
GGUAGUCCACGCCGUAAACGAUGAGUACUAGUUGUCGGGGGUAUCGACCCCCUCGGUAACGAAGCUAACGCGAUAAGUACUCCGCCUGGGGACUACGACCGCAAGGUUAAAACUCAAAGGAAUUGACGGGGCCCGCACAAGCAGCGGAGCGUGCGGUUUAAUUCGAAGCGACGCGAAGAACCUUACCAGGGCUUGACAUGGCGGGGACAGCCGGUGAAAGCCGGUCUCCCUUCGGGUCCCGUCACAGAUGCUGCAUGGCCGUCGUCAGCUCGUGCCGUGAGGUGUUGGGUUAAG